UAUUCUGCCCCACGGGGAAGGAUGAGAAGCUUCGACUAAGGUUCGACUCGAGCGAAGCGAGAGAACGUUGCCGCUGGCAAGGGCCCGAUGGCGAGGCGCUUUAGCGCCGAGUAAUCCUUCCCCCACCACCA
rnacentral:sRNA from 1 species